GCUUGCAAGCUCGGACGAUGUCGUUCGCGAACGGUGGCGCUCGUAAUUCCAUCCGCCCCACGGCCUCGUGCGACUCCGCGAGAUCCAGAUCUGGGCGGUAGCUGUCGUCCGCCGCGGGCUCCCUCAUGGUCGCGUUCGCCUUCGCUACCUUGAUAAGUCGAUGUCAGGGGCGCGUCGUCACCAUGAUUCAGAAUCUGCAGGCCGUCACCAUGCACCAGGAUCUCGCCACCGUGCUCCGUGGAUCACCAACAUCGACUGAUGAUCACAGAUUCACAUGUGUCCUAAAAGAAGGCAGACGAUGGUCUAUUCUGCUACAAUUAUAGAGCAAAUUGAUGAACAUAUGAAACUUUCGCUAAACAAACAAACUUCGUCUUGAAGCCGAUCCAUCGCUGAACCGCCCUGCUGUUGCUGCAACAUUGACUGAAGAGGUAGUUAGAAUAAGAUGACCAUGUCAACCAAAUCAAGCUGUUCUGCUUGCUUUCCGUUUGAAGACAUUCAAGGAAAGAGUAAUCAUUUUUAGGAUGAGCAGUGAGCUGUAGUUGAACAAUCUGGAGCUGGGGAACUUCAACGACAAGAUCAAGAAGAACUAGAUGAGACUUCACUAUGCGCAGCCCGGGCCCUCCUUCUGUCAACCCCUGUUCUAUCGCCCUACUGGCAAGCAACAAGGAAAUCAUUCAGGAUGUGAACGGGGGUUUGGAGAUAGCUGUUGUGACAAAGGAUGGGAAGAUGCGUGAAGAUGGUGCACUGCAGUUUUUAGUUGAUAAGGUCAUCAUCUUUUGAUGCCUGUGUGUAUAUAACUGUUCUUGGUUUCUGCUGUAACUUAAUGUGUGAUGUCGCUACUAAUUUUCUGUAUAUAUUGAAUGAAU